GAUUAGAUACCCUGGUAGUCCACGCCGUAAACGAUGUCUACUUGGAGGUUGUGCCCUUGAGGCGUGGCUUCCGGAGCUAACGCGUUAAGUAGACCGCCUGGGGAGUACGGCCGCAAGGUUAAAACUCAAAUGAAUUGACGGGGGCCCGCACAAGCGGUGGAGCAUGUGGUUUAAUUCGAUGCAACGCGAAGAACCUUACCUGGUCUUGACAUCCACAGAACUUUCCAGAGAUGGAUUGGUGCCUUCGGGAACUGUGAGACAGGUGCUGCAUGGCUGUCGUCAGCUCGUGUUGUGAAAUGUUGGGUUAAGUCCCGCAACGAGCGCAACCCUUAUCCUUUGUUGCCAGCGGUUAGGCCGGGAACUCAAAGGAGACUGCCAGUGAUAAACUGGAGGAAGGUGGGGAUGACGUCAAGUCAUCAUGGCCCUUACGACCAGGGCUACACACGUGCUACAAUGGCGCAUACAAAGAGAAGCGACCUCGCGAGAGCAAGCGGACCUCAUAAAGUGCGUCGUAGUCCGGAUUGGAGUCUGCAACUCGACUCCAUGAAGUCGGAAUCGCUAGUAAUCGUGGAUCAGAAUGCCACGGUGAAUACGUUCCCGGGCCUUGUACACACCGCCCGUCACACCAUGGGAGUGGGUUGCAAAAGAAGUAGGUAGCUUAACCUUCGGGAGGGCGCUUACCACUUUGUGAUUCAUGACUGGGGUGAAGUCGUAACAAGGUAACCGUAGGGGAACCUGC
rnacentral:rRNA from 1 species